rnacentral:rRNA from 1 species
GACGAACGCUUGCGGCGUGCUUAACACAUGCAAGUCGAACGGAAAGGCCCUGCUUUUGUGGGGUGCUCGAGUGGCGAACGGGUGAGUAACACGUGAGUAACCUGCCCUUGACUUUGGGAUAACUUCAGGAAACUGGGGCUAAUACCGGAUAGGAGCUCCUGCUGCAUGGUGGGGGUUGGAAAGUUUCGGCGGUUGGGGAUGGACUCGCGGCUUAUCAGCUUGUUGGUGGGGUAGUGGCUUACCAAGGCUUUGACGGGUAGCCGGCCUGAGAGGGUGACCGGCCACAUUGGGACUGAGAUACGGCCCAGACUCCUACGGGAGGCAGCAGUGGGGAAUAUUGCACAAUGGGCGGAAGCCUGAUGCAGCAACGCCGCGUGCGGGAUGACGGCCUUCGGGUUGUAAACCGCUUUCGCCUGUGACGAAGCGUGAGUGACGGUAAUGGGUAAAGAAGCACCGGCUAACUACGUGCCAGCAGCCGCGGUGAUACGUAGGGUGCGAGCGUUGUCCGGAUUUAUUGGGCGUAAAGGGCUCGUAGGUGGUUGAUCGCGUCGGAAGUGUAAUCUUGGGGCUUAACCCUGAGCGUGCUUUCGAUACGGGUUGACUUGAGGAAGGUAGGGGAGAAUGGAAUUCCUGGUGGAGCGGUGGAAUGCGCAGAUAUCAGGAGGAACACCAGUGGCGAAGGCGGUUCUCUGGGCCUUUCCUGACGCUGAGGAGCGAAAGCGUGGGGAGCGAACAGGCUUAGAUACCCUGGUAGUCCACGCUGUAAACGGUGGGUACUAGGUGUGGGGUCCAUUCCACGGGUUCCGUGCCGUAGCUAGCGCUUUAAGUACCCCGCCUGGGGAGUACGGCCGCAAGGCUAAAACUCAAAGGAAUUGACGGGGCCCCGCACAAGCGGCGGAGCAUGCGGAUUAAUUCGAUGCAACGCGUAGAACCUUACCUGGGUUUGACAUGGAUCGGGAGUGCUCAGAGAUGGGUGUGCCUCUUUUGGGGUCGGUUCACAGGUGGUGCAUGGCUGUCGUCAGCUCGUGUCGUGAGAUGUUGGGUUAAGUCCCGCAACGAGCGCAGCCCUUGUUCACUGUUGCCAGCACGUUAUGGUGGGGACUCAGUGGAGACCGCCGGGGUCAACUCGGAGGAAGGUGGGGAUGACGUCAAGUCAUCAUGCCCCUUAUGUCCAGGGCUUCACGCAUGCUACAAUGGCUGGUACAGAGAGUGGCGAGCCUGUGAGGGUGAGCGAAUCUCGGAAAGCCGGUCUCAGUUCGGAUUGGGGUCUGCAACUCGACCUCAUGAAGUCGGAGUCGCUAGUAAUCGCAGAUCAGCAACGCUGCGGUGAAUACGUUCCCGGG